rnacentral:lncRNA from 1 species
GGGGAGGCAGGGGCAGGCCCCUGAGGCCCCGCCCCUGAUAGCCAUUUGAUACCACCGCUAGUCUUGCCCGUGUUUGGGGUGACUCAGCUUCCCUGCUUGUGCAAGAACAGCUGAACUCUGACCUCCUGAAUGGCCGACUCUUGCCUUGCUCCUCAGGGACCCCAGACACGAUCGUAGGAACCGGAGUGCUUAACUGGUACCUGGUGC